rnacentral:rRNA from 1 species
UUUGGAGGGCAAGUCUGGUGCCAGCAGCCGCGGUAAUUCCAGCUCCAAUAGCGUAUAUUAAAGUUGUUGCAGUUAAAAAGCUCGUAGUUGAAUUUCGGGAUUAGUACGCUGGUCGUGCCUUCGGUAUGUACUGGUGUUACUGGUUCCUCCCUUCUGACGAACCGUCAUGUCAUUAAUUUGGUGUGGCGGGGAAUCAGGACUGUUACUUUGAAAAA